rnacentral:rRNA from 1 species
CCUACGGGAGGCAGCAGUGGGGAAUAUUGCACAAUGGGGGAAACCCUGAUGCAGCGACGCCGCGUGAGCGAUGAAGUAUUUCGGUAUGUAAAGCUCUAUCAGCAGGGAAGAAGAUGACGGUACCUGACUAAGAAGCCCCGGCUCACUACGUGCCAGCAGCCGCGGUAAUACGUAGGGGGCAAGCGUUAUCCGGAUUUACUGGGUGUAAAGGGGGCGUAGACGGCGGUGCAAGCCAGAUGUGAAAGCCCGGGGCUCAACCCCGGGACUGCAGUUGGAACUGUAUGGCUGGAGUUGCGGAGAGGCAGGCGGAAUUCCUAGUGUAGCGGUGAAAUGCGUAGAUAUUAGGAGGAACACCAGUGGCGAAGGCGGCCUGCUGGACGAUGACUGACGUUGAGGCUCGAAAGCGUGGGGAGCAAACAGGAUUAGAUACCCGAGUAGUC